rnacentral:misc_RNA from 1 species
AAAACUUCGGCAAGAACGUGGGGCUUGUGUGUUGAGACUUGUGUGCUAACUUAGACCACAAGCCCCCUCACGAGCCCUGUUUUUACGAACCCUGUGUGAACCGUAAUAUUUAUUCCAUCCACGUAAUACGAAAUUUCUAGUCUAAAGUCUUCUUCAUAUCACGAGAAUAUGAUAAAAA